rnacentral:rRNA from 1 species
CCCUUAGAUGUCCGGGGCUGCACGCGCGCUACACUGAAGGAAUCAGCGUGCUAAAACCAUUGUCGAAAGGCAUUGGUAAACCCAUUAAAAUCCUACGUGAUUGGGAUCGGGAAUUGCAAUUAUUUCCCUUGAACGAGGAAUUCCCAGUAAGUGUGGGUCAUAAGCUCGCGUUGAUUACGUCCCUGCCCUUUGUACACACCGCCCGUCGCUGCCCGGGACUGAACCGUUUCGAGAAAAGCGGGGACUGCUGCUGUCGGGGCUUUCGGGCCUUGGCUUCGGUGGAAACCGCUUUAAUCGCAGUGGCUUGAACCGGGCAAAAGUCGUAACA